AGACCAGUGAGCCUCCUGAUCCACCAAGACCAUAUGGUGUUUUUCAUAAAAGAGAGAGAUCAUUCCCUUGACUUUGGACUUCGCUUAUUGAACCCCUGGACAGAAUCAAGGUUGCUAAGAGACCACCUGUGCUGAAUACACUUUGUUCUGGCAAGAGCAGAAAACUGAGAAGCCGUGUUACCUACCACUACCUGGGAUUAAUUCAGGGAGCGGGAUAAUUCUGGAUAUGACUGGUAAAAACUGGAUAUUAAUUUCUACUACUACUCCCAAAAGUCUAGAAGAUGAAAUUGUGGGAAGACUUCUAAAAAUUUUGUUUGUUAUCUUUGUUGACUUAAUUUCUAUUAUAUAUGUUGUGAUAACUUCUUAGAAAGCUGACUUCCUUUCCAUGUACAUUUCAAACUGAAUUACAGUGAAUAAAAAUUUGUAUUUUAA
rnacentral:lncRNA from 1 species